rnacentral:rRNA from 1 species
AGUGAACGCUGGCGGUAGGCCUAACACAUGCAAGUCGAACGGCAGCACAGUAAGAGCUUGCUCUUACGGGUGGCGAGUGGCGGACGGGUGAGGAAUACAUCGGAAUCUACUUUUUCGUGGGGGAUAACGUAGGGAAACUUACGCUAAUACCGCAUACGACCUACGGGUGAAAGCAGGGGAUCUUCGGACCUUGCGCGAUUGAAUGAGCCGAUGUCGGUUUAGCUAGUUGGCGGGGUAAAGGCCCACCAAGGCGACGAUCCGUAGCUGGUCUGAGAGGAUGAUAGGCCACACUGGAACUUGGACACGGUCCAGACUCCUGCGGGAGGCAGCAGUGGGGAAUAGUGGACAAUGGGCGCAAGCCUGAUCCAGCCGUACCGCGUGGGUGAAGGAGGCCUUCGGGUUGUAAAGCCCUUUUGUUGGGAAAGAAAAGCAGCAGGUUAAGACCCCGCUGUUCUGACGGUACCCAAAGAAUAAGCACCGGCUAACUUCGUG